CAGGACCUACAGCAUGCUGACCAUCACGGAGAGCGAGUGGCUCAGCCAGAGCGUGUUCACCUGUGAGGUGGAACACAAAGAGGGGAUCUUCCAGAAGAACGUGUCCUCAGUGUGCGGCACCCCCAUGUCCCCCGACAUCAGGAUCUUCACCAUCCCCCCGUCGUUCGCUGGCAUCUUCCUCACCAAGUCAGCCAAGCUUUCCUGCCUGGUCACAGACCUGACCACCUAUGAGAGCCUGAGCAUCUCCUGGACCCGCCAGAAUGGCGAGGCCCUGCAGACCCACACCAACGUCUCCGAGAGCCACGCCAAUGGCACAUUCAGCGCCAUGGGUGAGGCCUCUGUCUGCGUAGAGGAAUGGGAGUCUGGAGAAAGGUUCACGUGCACUGUGACCCACACAGACCUGCCCUCGCCACUGAAGCGCGACAUCUCCAGGCCCACAGAGAUCGCCAAGCACAUGCCGUCCGUGUACGUGCUGCCACCAACGCGGGAACAGCUGAGCCUGCGGGAGUCCGCCUCCGUCACCUGCCUGGUGAAGGGCUUCUCACCCGCGGACGUGUUCGUGCAGUGGCUGCAGAAGGGGCAGCCCAUGUCCUCCGACAAGUACGUGACCAGUGCCCCGGCUCCCGAGCCCCAGGCCCCCGGCCUCUACUUCGUGUACAGCAUCCUGACGGUGAGCGAAGAGGACUGGAACAGCGGGGAGACCUACACCUGCGUCGUGGGCCACGAGGCCCUGCCCCACAUGGUGACCGAGAGGACCGUGGACAAGUCCACCGAGGGCGAAGUGAGCGCCGAGGAAGAAGGCUUCGAGAACCUCAACACCAUGGCCUCCACCUUCAUCGUCCUCUUCCUCCUGGGCCUCUUCUACAGCACCACGGUCACCCUGUUCAAGGUGAAGUGACGGCCAGCCAAGGACAUGGGGGACCAGAGACGGAACGAGAGGGGAGCCGCCUUGGGGCCAGGGGGUCUGCGUGGCUUGUCCACUUGUACUGAAAUCUUCCCCGUGUCCCUCUCCAGCUUCGAGCUCUAAGAAACCAGCUUCUCCCGACGUGGCCAAAUGCCGUGGCCAAGCAUGGAGCCCACAGCCGUGGGCUCUGCCCGGCCCUGCUUUGCAAUGUCUCGCUUGUGGCCUUGAAAUAAAUAUGUACAUUUUAUCUUGUGA